AUUGAACGCUGGCGGCAUGCCUUACACAUGCAAGUCGAACGGCAGCACGGGAGCAAUCCUGGUGGCGAGUGGCGAACGGGUGAGUAAUGUAUCGGAACGUGCCCAGUCGUGGGGGAUAACGCAGCGAAAGCUGUGCUAAUACCGCAUACGAUCUAUGGAUGAAAGCGGGGGAUCGCAAGACCUCGCGCGAUUGGAGCGGCCGAUAUCAGAUUAGGUAGUUGGUGGGGUAAAGGCCCACCAAGCCGACGAUCUGUAGCUGGUCUGAGAGGACGACCAGCCACACUGGGACUGAGACACGGCCCAGACUCCUACGGGAGGCAGCAGUGGGGAAUUUUGGACAAUGGGCGCAAGCCUGAUCCAGCAAUGCCGCGUGCAGGAUGAAGGCCUUCGGGUUGUAAACUGCUUCUGUACGGAGCGAAACGGCUUCCACUAAUACUGGGGGCUAAUGACGGUACCGUAAGAAUAAGCACCGGCUAACUACGUGCCAGCCGCCGCUGUAA
rnacentral:rRNA from 1 species